CAAGUUCCAGGAAUGCUGAGUCUAUGGAAGAACUCACCCAGACAAUGUUGAAGGCAAGGAAGUAUUACAAUAAACUGAUCACCAUCAAGAAAGAGAUGUCCAAUCUCCAUGACAAGUCAGGGAAGCUCAAGAAGCGGGCCGUCAAGCUGCAGCAGCAGCGUCAGAAGGAGGAGCU